GACGAACGCUGGCGGCGUGCUUAACACAUGCAAGUCGAACGGAAAGGCCCUGCUUUUGUUGGUUGCUCGAGUGGCGAACGGGUGAGUAACACGUGAGUAACCUGCCCUUGACUUUGGGAUAACUUCAGGAAACUGGGGCUAAUACCGGAUAUGAGCUCCUGCUGCAUGGUGGGGGUUGGAAAGUUUCGGCGGUUGGGGAUGGACUCGCGGCUUAUCAGCUUGUUGGUGGGGUAGUGGCUUACCAAGGCUUUGACGGGUAGCCGGCCUGAGAGGGUGACCGGCCACAUUGGGACUGAGAUACGGACCAGACGCCUACGGGAGGCAGCAGGGGGGAAUAUUGCACAAUGGGCGGAAGCCUGAUGCAGCAACGCCGCGUGCGGGAUGACGGCCUUCGGGUUGUAAACAGCUGUCGCAGGUGACGAAGAGUGAGUGACGGUAAUGGGUAAAGAAGCACCGGCUAACUACGUG
rnacentral:rRNA from 1 species